UUUAUCAGCCAGUAUAUUUUACUUUGAAGCGCGUUAGGAGGACGUGAAAUUGUUGAAAGGGAAGCGCUUGUGAGCAGAACACGCCCGAGGGGUUCAGCCGGCAUUCGUGCCGGUGUACUUCCCCGUGGGCGGGCCAGCGUCGGUUUGGGCGGCCGGUCAAAGGCCCCUGGAAUGUAGUGCCCUCCGGGGCACCUUAUAGCCAGGGGUGCAAUGCGGCCAGCCUGGACCGAGGAACGCGCUUCGGCACGGACGCUGGCAUAAUGGUCGUAAACGACCCGUCUUGAAACACAGACCAAGACGACCGUUUACAACAUAACCCCCUUCUUCCCGGGGGGGGGUUGGGCCCUAUUUUUUUUUUUUUCCCAUGCAAAAAGGACCC
rnacentral:rRNA from 1 species